GGCAACGACGGGGGCAGCACAUUCGAAUGGGGGUCCUUGAUGGAAGGACCCGUGUUGAACUCAAAUGCAGGUGAUCAUAAAUCAUAGAUUUUCAAACUUUUUUUUUUUUUUUAAAACUCAGUGUGGACCUCAAGCCAAACGUCACAUAAGGUCAACUCAUGACGGCUCCAGAUUGUUGUCGGGCCUGUUGGACAGAUUGCCAUCAGGCGUUUCCCACAUGCAGGACUUCAGCGCGGGGUGGUAGAAGACGGCAGCUUGCAAGCACGCGCCCGAUGCCUCCCGAGCCCGGAGAGUUUUUGUUGCAAUCAGCUGCACCGAGAGGAAGUCUUCCGCUGAGGUGUACGUGCCACUGUGGUCCGCGUGCACAGAGUCAACGAACAAGUAAGCCAUCCAGCUGUUCCUGUGCGAGUCAUUUCUGAUGCACAUCUGGAAGGAAAAGAUGUCUUCACGACAAGAUUAUCUGCACGUGUAUCGUGGGGCGUCUUUUAUAUGAAUAACCAAUUAUAUUGUAUUAACACGACACGUGCCCAAAAAUUUUGAGAGAACAGAGUAGGACUGAAUGAUGACAUCUAUUAAUCUUUUCGUUUGGAUUUCAUUUUUUACUUUCAACUAUAAAUAUCUUCUGUUGCAUGUUUAUAUGUCCAAUAAAAAGCCAUCAA